AACCACCUGAGUUGGGUAUGACUACCUGCUGAACUUAAGCAUAUCAGUAAGCAGAGGAAAAGAAACAAACAUGGAUUCCCUUAGUACGCGCGAGGGUAAAAAU
rnacentral:rRNA from 1 species